GGGUCCGUAGCUCAGCGGUAAGAGCCACCGGCUCAUAACCGGCGGGUCCUCGGUUCGAAUCCGAGCGGACCCACGA
rnacentral:tRNA from 2 species